rnacentral:misc_RNA from 1 species
UUUGCAUGUAAACUUCAAAAAAAAAAUGUACUGACUGCUCAAUAUCCACUCCAAAAUAUAGAUUAUGCAAACGGGUUGUGCUAUUAUACAUAAUGAAUUAGCAGAAGGCAUCCAAAACUUUACAAAUUAAAUUUAUUUGCUACGUGGAGGGUUUGGGCCCUUUGGACGCAUCCAUACAACAAAAUCCCCAAGUUGGUACAGGCAAUCCAAUGGAAAGGGUGACAUAAUUCGCGUCUAAGAUAUCAUCCCGUUAACGCUUAACAAUUCUCAUAAAACCGCAGAAAGAGUAAACAUGCUGGAUCUCAACAAGUUGUCAUUAAUCUGCAUUUACAAGAUUACUACUAUUCUUCAUUUGGAGCUAUUGAAUAAUUCUACUUUACAAUCAAUUCAAUCAACAACCGGGCGCCAUAACCAAAAUAUAAUCAAAACUGGGGAUCACCUCAAGAA